rnacentral:rRNA from 1 species
GGAUUAGAUACCCUGGUAGUCCACGCCCUAAACGAUGUAUGCUUGGUGUUGGGGAGCAAUUCUCAGUGCCGUAGGAAAUCUGUUAAGCAUACCACCUGGGGAGUACGAUCGCAAGGUUGAAACUCAAAGGAAUUGACGGGGGCCCGCACAAGCGGAGGAUCAUGUGGUUUAAUUCGAUGCAACGCGAAGAACCUUACCCAGGCUUGAAGUGCAUUUGACUAUUGCAGAAAUGUAAUAUUUCUUCGGAACAGGUGCAGAGGUGCUGCAUGGCUGUCGUCAGCUCGUGCCG